AACGUAGGAGGCGAGCGUUAUCCGGAUUUACUGGGCGUAAAGCGUGUGUAGGCGGUAUGAUAAGUUGGAUGUGAAAGCUCCCGGCUCAACUGGGAGAGGUCGUUCAAAACUGUCAGACUAGAGAGUGGUAGAGGGAGGUGGAAUUCCGCGUGUAGUGGUGAAAUGCGUAGAUAUGCGGAGGAACACCAGUGGCGAAAGCGGCCUCCUGGACCAUUUCUGACGCUCAGACACGAAAGCUAAGGUAGCAAACGGGAUUAGAGACCCCGGUAGUCUUAGCUGUAAACGAUGUGAACUUAGUGUCGGUGGGGUUAAAUCCAUCGGUACUGAAGCUAACGCGAUAAGUUCACCGCCUGAGGACUACGGCCGCAAGGUUAAA
rnacentral:rRNA from 1 species